ensembl:snoRNA SNORA71 Small nucleolar RNA SNORA71
GCCUGCCUUUAAAAUAAUCGUGGGAUGCCUGUGCCCGGUCACUGACAGGGCAGGGAGAGAAACCUGGAAGAGGUUUUCCCUGUGUUUAGAGGGUUUGCCUGGCCUAUCUGAGCCCUGGAGCUUUCCUAUA